AUGAUUCUCCUUCAAGGUUUCCAACCUUUAGCACAAAGAGAGCAAAACCUUCCAGACUUUACUGCUUGGUGUCCACUUUUUUGUUCACAGUUCAGUUCCUCCCAACCAACUAGUCUUCAUUUCAUGAGGGCCACACUGCAAUCUCAGCUAAACUCCAUGAAUCACAGUAACUUGGCUCAAGAGCAGGACUUGGCCAGGCGUGGUGGAUCACUGGAGGUCACUAGUUUGAGACCAGAAUGGCCAAUGUGGUGAAAUCUUGCCUCUACUUGUCACUGUGUAUAUUUUUGUGUGUCUUCCUGUGUAUUUAUGCCAAGGGAGUAUUUUCACAAAGUUCAAAAUGCACAAUAAUCAGAGAUGAGGCAAACCAGUGCCAUUCUUUAUGCAAAUAAAACUCCGCAAAGGGAAACUGAUUCUGUAUAUGUUGGGAACCACCCAACGUGGGUACCAAGAGUACAUGGGUAGCAGGGAAGUCAAAAAAAAGGAGGAGAAUGCUGGGAGAUAAUGCAUGAAUUGAAGGGUCUAAAGACUAAGAAAAUAACAAAAGACAGUACUAUACUAACAUAGCUAUGGAGGAAUUGAGGGCCAGCACCCAAGACUGAUGAGGUACUAUCUGAACAAUAACCAUUGUGGCAAAAAAAAAUCCUAUAAACAAACAAACAAACAAAAAACCCUCAGAAAAAUUAUCUUAGGGACUGAUAUUGGUAAUUAUGGUCAAUUUAAUAAUCUUUUGGGGGCAUUUCCUUAUAUUGUCUUGACAAUAAAAGGUCUAUGUGCCAAAAUUCUUUAUUUUAUUUGGAGAAUCUUUAUCAAAAGUAACGCUGCCAAAGGAAGUCUGAGGAAUUAGUAGUGUUCCCAUCACUUGUUUGGAGUGUGCUAUUCUAAAAGAGUUUGUGAUUUCCUGGCAUGACAAUUGUAUUUUAAUUUUGGUGGGAGAAAGAGUUAAUAGGACCACAGUCUUCACUUCUGAUAUUUGUAAAUUAAUCUUUUAUUGAACUUGUUUUGACCAUUAAGCUAUAUGUUUAGAAAUGGUUGUUUUAUGGAAGAAUUCUGAUAAUAGUACAGAAUAAAUGAAUUAAUAUUUUACUUAAUUUAUAUUGGACUGUCAAUGACAAAUAAAAAUUUUUUGAUGAUUUUUUUGUUUUCAUUUACCAGAAUAACAACUAAGAAAUAAAAGCUUAAUUAUAGUCAAAA